rnacentral:lncRNA from 10 species
GUAAAGGAGGUAUGGCAGCUGUGGAAGAGAGCCCUGCUCAGAUUUCCCUCCAGGAGCACAAGCCUCCAGCUGCCGCACCUUUGGGAUCCACUGCAACACUCACUCACACCAAGUUCGUGAUCUCACAAAGCUGCUGCUCCCAGCCAAUGGCUGAGCAUGUUGUGGGUACAGGAGCUGGGCCUUUCCUGCCCAAUGUGGGCCUCUUUUGAUGGGCAGUUUUUGCUCUGGGGUUUCUCAUCGGCCUGGCCUUGCUAUUUCAGACCUUGAUUGUAGUCUGAGGCUUUUCCUACUCAAACCUCCUUCACUCCUUUGUGAUCUGAAGGUAUCUCCUGCCUGCUGCUUCUCACUCUCACCUUUAUCUUCCAUGGGUAUUUCCCUCAAAACAACUACAUGUUUAAUUUUGUCUUGAUGUCUGCUUCUUAGAGGGCCUAAACUGACAGAGGAUGUAAGAAUUCAGAAGAAUUUUGUGGUACUCAAUUGCAGGAAGUGGAGCUGGAAUUCCUGGGAAGGGAAACUUUUGUCCAAACAGCAAGGUCAUUUGUAGGAAGAACAUACUGAAUUAUUCAGGAGAAAUAGAAAAUUAUGCCUACAACUUACUCUUAAAUGACUCAAGAAUUGGCCAGGCAAGUUGGCUCAUGCCUGUAAUCCCAACACUUUGGGAGGCCAAGGUGAAGGGACCACAUGAGCUCAGGAGUUCAAGACCAGCUUGGGCAACAUGGUGAGACCUCAUCUCUACUAAAAAUAGAAAAAUUAGCCAGGUGCGAUGGUGCAUGCUUGUAGUUCCAGCUACUCAGGAGGCUGAGGUGGGAGGAUUGCUUGAGCUCACGAGGUCAAGGCUGCAGUGAGCUGUGAUCAUGCCACUGCACUGCAGCCUGAGUAAUAGAGCAAGAUCCCAUCUCAAAAAAAAAAAAAAAGAUUCAAGAAUAAAAGUUCUUUGUAAUAUGUAUACAACUCUUCUGUAUGUUUUAAAAUAUUUCAAUAUAAAAUUUUUUUCAAUGGGAUGGGACUAAGUUACACAUUUACUAUAUUAGAAAGUUUGACUCAUGUUCACUCUAAUUGCUUUUAUGUUAAGUCAAAUGUGGCACUAAAUACAAAGGAUGCAUAUUCCAUUACAUGUAUGGUUAAAUCUGCUAUGGAAAAUAGUUUGUUCACCCAAAACCAUCUGUGUUUAUUUUCAGGUUGAACGAACCCUAAGGUUAGUCACAUUCUUUAAAACCAUUUGAUGAAUGACACAAUCUCUGAAUCACAUCAAAGCCAAUCUGGUUUCUUCAAGGAUUCCAUAUCAGUGGAAAAACAUUUCUGCUCAAAAGCAUCUGUCUAUCCAUAUGUGGAAAUAGUCAAUACAUGAAACUGAAAAAUAAUUGUUUUCAAAUAAUUGGCUAUAUGACAUACACAGCCCCUCUUUCUCAGCUGCAUUACUAAUUGCCUGAAUAUGAUCUGUGUUUUGAAUUUUUCCCUCAUUGUAGAACUUUGCAAGACUUUCCACUGCACAAAAUUAUAAUACAGCAAGAGCAAAAUAUAGCCUGAGACAAGUACAUAUGUUGGAUUCUAUUCAAAUAUGCAGGGCUUUAUCUAGAAGGAAAAAUCCUUUUAGAGUUAGAGAGGAAGUGAAUCAGGCCCAUGGACUUUGGGUAACCGAUAUGCAAACAUCGGUGGUUGGUGGUGGUUUUUCUCCUUUUUGUUGUCUACUUUGAAGUUGCUGUACAAUAUCCAAAUACCCAGCUCCAUUCUCCCUGGUGUUUUGGUGGUUAUGCAUUUGUUCUGAGACUAUGAAUGGAGAGUUUCCUUCCAACUAACAAGUGUUCCUUCCCUAGCCAUAAUCCUUCAGAAGAACUGAAUCUGAUCAGUUAUGUCUCAACUGAAGAAGACAACAUUUGUUUUAACAGAGUUUAUUUAGAACAUCCUGCUGCUAAUGUCAGCACACAGAUUGGGCAAGUUCCACCAAAAUAACUUUCAGGCUAUUUGUACUCAAUUAAAUGUUUAUUUAAAAUUUCCUUUUGGUUUUUACUGCUGUAAAUGCAUUGUCCAUUUUUCACAUACCAGGCACUGUUGUUUAGUCUCAAGGGCAUUACUUGUUACAAAUUUAACAACUGUGACAUAUUAAAAACAACAUUUAGGGAAGAAAUUAGUGUUGAGAAGAUGUGACCAGAUGUUUUCAUAGUGUUUUGCCAAAGUGUCACUUAAAUGCCAACAAGAUUUUAAAAGGAAUUUUUUUCCAAAGUAUUUCACUAUACCCACUUAAGUGACCCCAAAAUAUGUUGCUAUCACAGAUACGUUAGAAACAAAGUUUAAUUUUCAUUUUAAUCAUAGUUUUCUUGAGGAUACAUAAAAUCUUUUCACUGUCAUUUUUUCUUUUAUAAACCCAUGGUAAUUGAAAAAAUUGUGACUGUGCCACAUGCUACCUUUGUGAUCUAAGUUUUCUUAUGACUAAAAUGGGGAUGCUGGCCAGGUGCAGUGGCUCACACCUGUAAUCCCAGCAUUUUGGGAGGCCAAGAUGGUUGAAUCACCUGAGGUCAGGAGUUCGAGACCAACCUGACCAAAACGGUGAAACCCUGUCUCUACUAAAAAUAUAAAAUUAGCCGGAUGUGG